rnacentral:rRNA from 1 species
UUCAUCUUUUAUUAUUAACCCAUCAUCAGUAUUGAAUAAAUUCAUAAAUUAUGAAAAAUACCAUGCUAGAACUAGUAACAAGAAAAUGAAUUUCUCCAAAGCGUAAGCAUAACCCAAAAUGGACAAUCCAUUGGUGAUUAGCGGCCCUGAACACAUUAUAGUAAAUUAUCUAGAAAACUCUAUACUUAACACCGUUAACCUUACACAAGAACCCUCCCUGGAAAGAUUAAAAGGAAGAGAAGGAACUCGGCAAAUUUUAACCCCGCCUGUUUACCAAAAACAUCGCCUCUUGCUCAAAUAUAAGAGGUCCAGCCUGCCCAGUGUUUUAAUCAACGGCCGCGUGAUUUAAGCGCGCGAAGGUAGCAUAAUCAUUUGUUCUUUAAAUGAGGACUAGUAUCAAUGGCAUCACGAGGGUUAUACUGUCUCCUCUCCCCAAUCAGUGAAACUAAUCUCCCUGUGAAAAAGCAGGGAUAGAACUAUAAGACGAGAAGACCCCAUGGAGCUUAAAACGCAGCAACAACCAUAAUAUUACAAUCAAUAUAAUUUUUAAACCCUGUAUGCUAGUUUUAGGUUGGGGUGACCGCGGAGCAAAACAAAGCCUCCACAACGAAAAGGGACUACACCCUUAUCCAAGAGACACUUCUCUAAGAAUUAUUAUAAUAACGUUUAAUGAUCCGACUAUCGAUCAACGGACCAAGUUACCCUGGGGAUAACAGCGCAAUCCACUCUGAGAGCUCCUAUCGACGAAUGGGCUUACGAACCUCGAUGUUGGAUCAGGGUACCCCAGUGGCGCAGCGCUGCUAAAGG